UCCCAGGUGUCUCAGUAGUGAAGAAUCUGCCUACAAUGCAGGAGACGCAGGUUCAAUCCCUGGGUUGGGAA
rnacentral:tRNA from 1 species